rnacentral:rRNA from 1 species
UACGUAGGUGGCGAGCGUUGUCCGGAAUCACUGGGCGUAAAGCGCGUGUAGGCGGAACGGCAAGUCUGUUGUGAAAGCGCCUGGCUUAACCGGGCGAGGUCGAUGGAAACUGCCGUUCUGGAGGCCGGUAGAGGGGGGUGGAAUUCCGGGUGUAGUGGUGAAAUGCGUAGAGAUCCGGAGGAACACCAGUGGCGAAGGCGGCCCCCUGGGCCGCGCCUGACGCUGAGACGCGAAAGCGCGGGGAGCGAACGGG